AUCGGAUGCAUGGGAUGCUUUUGUUACAGCACAUGGCGAGAAGAAGACGGGCUGUCAUCUCCAGCGAAGCGUCCUCCAAAGCGCAUCAGCAAAGACACGUUUUCACUAAACAGCCGUGAGGAGAAGCAUUGACAUCAUCUGUUGGUGGUGUGUUUCCAUUUGUUAACCAUUCGUUGUGUGAUUCACACCUAAAGCACUUUCCGGGCCUUUUCAAGCAGACCCU